CAGUCGCCGCGGUAAAACGUAGGGUGCAAGCGUUAAUCGGAAUUACUGGGCGUAAAGCGUGCGCAGGCGGUUAUAUAAGACAGAUGUGAAAUCCCCGGGCUCAACCUGGGAACUGCAUUUGUGACUGUAUAGCUAGAGUACGGCAGAGGGGGAUGGAAUUCCGCGUGUAGCAGUGAAAUGCGUAGAUAUGCGGAGGAACACCGAUGGCGAAGGCAAUCCCCUGGGCCUGUACUGACGCUCAUGCACGAAAGCGUGGGGAGCAAACAGGAUUAGAUACCCCAGUAGUCCCUGUCUCUUAUAC
rnacentral:rRNA from 1 species